rnacentral:rRNA from 1 species
GACGAACGCUGGCGGCGUGCUUAACACAUGCGAGUCGAACGGAAAGGCCCUGCUUGCAGGGUACUCGAGUGGCGAACGGGUGAGUAACACGUGGGUGAUCUGCCCUGCACUUCGGGAUAAGCCUGGGAAACUGGGUCUAAUACCGGAUAUGACCUUCCAUGUAGUGUGGGGGGUGGAAAGAUUUAUCGGUGUGGGAUGAGCCCGCGGCCUAUCAGCUUGUUGGUGGGGUAAUGGCCUACCAAGGCGUCGACGGGUAGCCGGCCUGAGAGGGUGGACGGCCACAUUGGGACUGAGAUACGGCCCAGACUCCUACGGGAGGCAGCAGUGGGGAAUAUUGCACAAUGGGCGGAAGCCUGAUGCAGCGACGCCGCGUGGGGGAUGACGGCCUUCGGGUUGUAGACCUCUUUCGACAGGGACGAAGCUUCGGUGACGGUACCUGUAUAAGAAGCACCGGCUAACUACGUG